rnacentral:tRNA from 1 species
UUCUUAAUAAUUUAUCUAAAAUAUCUACUUUGGAUGUAGAAUAAAUCUAUAAUUA